GUCUAUGGCCAUGCCACCCUGAACAAGCCCAAUCCUGUCUGAUCUCGGAAGCUAAGAAGGGUCAGGUCUGCUUAGUUCUUGAAUGGGAGACCACCUAAGAAGACCCCGUGCUGUAUGCG
rnacentral:rRNA from 1 species